ACGAACGCUGGCGGCGUGCUUAACACCUGCCAGUCGAACGGAAAGGCCCUGCUUUUGUGGGGUGCUCGAGUGGCGAACGGGUGAGUAACACGUGAGUAACCUGCCCUUGACUUUGGGAUAACUUCAGGAAACUGGGGCUAAUACCGGAUAGGAGCUCCUGCUGCAUGGUGGGGGUUGGAAAGUUUCGGCGGUUGGGGAUGGACUCGCGGCUUAUCAGCUUGUUGGUGGGGUAGUGGCUUACCAAGGCUUUGACGGGUAGCCGGCCUGAGAGGGUGACCGGCCACAUUGGGACUGAGAUACGGCCAAGACUCCUACGGGAGGCAGCAGUGGGGAAUAUUGCACAAUGGGCGGAAGCCUGAUGCAGCAACGCCGCGUGCGGGAUGACGGCCUUCGGGUUGUAAACCGCUUUCGCCUGUGACGAAGCGUGAGUGACGGUAAUGGGUAAAGAAGCACCGGCUAACUACGUG
rnacentral:rRNA from 1 species